rnacentral:lncRNA from 1 species
UUUGUGUGUUUUUCUUAUGAACAAUAUAAUAAUUAUAUUAGAAAGUGUUCUAUAUCCCUAGCAUUUGCGCAGGAGGUGUUGGAGUGAAUCUUCAAGCUGCGGAUACAGUCAUCAUUUUUGACACAGACUGGAAUCCACAGGAAAUAUAGAUAUAUGGAGGAUUAUCUGUGUUCUGUUUUUGUAGGAUGAUCCCCUAUGUGUUGCUUCUAGACAAGAUGGGAAGAUAUUAGUCUCUAGUCUGUGGGUUGAUCACAGUUUUGAUGUCGGAGCGCCUGUAGAUACCUCGGUAAUGUACGUACCGGUGAGAUAUUUGAAUGGGAUUCGAGGUGCAAUGUCACUAGUUAUAUGUUUGACAUGAUAUCAACGUGAAGAUCGAGAGGACAUUAUGGUGAUGUCAAAAGAAGUUGAGUAUAGUCAGUUGGCUGAUGUAGCGACAAUAAGUAGUAAGUGCUGGAAACUAUGAAGUGGAAGUAUGACUACUAAGAAAACGUUAACACGAUGAUUAUUUAACUCGCAUGAAGAUUGUGAAAGAGAAUCAUGAACACAAUGAUAUUUUGAGUUUUUAUUCAUAAACUUGUUAGUUUAUUUAGGUUAUAUGUUUGAUCAUUUGACUUAGAUCGACACUUAUUAGACAUUUGGAAUCUUUGUAAGAUUGAUUGAACUUUUAAUUGAAGUGAUUAUUUUAUGAUUUC